GAGAAAGUAAUAUGAAAGAAUUGUGAAAUGGAAUGGCCUCAACAAAUAGGUCAAGUGUGUCUAUUGCCAGCUACCAUUCAUCUACUUUGACUGAAAAUGGCCUAUUAUUAAAACAUCAUCUUCCCUUUCCGACUA